CAGCCGCCGCGGGAAUACGGAGGGUGCAAGCGUUAAUCGGAAUUACUGGGCGUAAAGCGUGCGUAGGCGGUUCGUUAAGUCUGUUGUGAAAGCCCCGGGCUCAACCUGGGAAUGGCAAUGGAUACUGGCGAGCUAGAGUGUGUCAGAGGAUGGUGGAAUUCCCGGUGUAGCGGUGAAAUGCGUAGAGAUCGGGAGGAACAUCAGUGGCGAAGGCGGCCAUCUGGGACAACACUGACGCUGAGGCACGAAAGCGUGGGGAGCAAACAGGAUUAGAUACCCGAGUAGUCCCUGUCUCUUAUAC
rnacentral:rRNA from 1 species